rnacentral:rRNA from 1 species
GCUAGCAGCUGGCUCUCAGCAACUCUCGCAUGGUCGCCUGCUAAAGCUAAGCAGGGCUGCCCCCGGUCAGUACCUGGAUGGAAGACCACAUGGGAAAGUUAGGUUACUGCCGGAA